GUGGAAAAGACGUUGGAGUCCAGGAAAGACAAAAGUUCCUGGCCCUUCUUCUCCACACCCUCCCCACCCUUCUCCCUAGCUGUGGGGGGAGGAGCUUCCGUCGAGGUCGGACGAGGCGUGGGGCCUUGCCCGCAGGUGAGUCCCCAGCCGCAUGGAAAGGCGCCGCCGACCUGCCCGAUCUGAGGCCUGCCCGGAGCUCCGGGACCCAAGGGGGUGGCUUCGGAAGGACGCUCCGCGUUUCCAUCCGUUUCUUGCCCUAUCUCCCAAAAUCUGGCCCCAGAAUCCCACCCUGGACGCCGCCGCAGGCCACUUCGGUCGCCCGGGGGCCUCACACAGGGAUUGCCCCGGUGGCGGGGCACCGGCUCAACAGCCCCUGAGAAAAUGCCAGCACCUGAGCUGUCGACUCAGGGGCCCUUCGUGCCUCCAGACCUCUGGGCACUAUUGCUAGUGAUUGCUGCACGGCCGUCGACUUCGAAAGCCACCUCCAUCCCUCUCUGGGCGCCGCCCCCCCCCCCCCGCCCCCGAGUCGGCCAGGAGCUUGACAGGCGGCCUAGGAAAGAGCGGGCUAAUUCUCUGGCCGAGGCCCCACGUCGCCUGUGAAAAUCGCUUUAGGUUUUUGGGUGCGACCCGGAGCCUGGGCAGGUCAAGGACUACCGGCCAAGACAAAGGGGGGGUGUGGAAUCGUUCCCACGCUCGCCGUCAUCCGAAAAGAAACUCAAGUCAAGAAAUCCGCUCUUGGCUGUACGGGCUGCCUUGAGCUGGCCUUUCCAGGGGCCGGGAGUGGGGCCCCCGAGGAGGCCGGGGGCUCUAGGUAGCCCGGGCCGGGGCUCAGGCUCCCGCCGCCCCAAGGCGCGCUCUCCCAGACUCCCUUGCGCCCGGGCGGGCGGGUCGGGGCCCUUCCGGCCGCCGCGGACCCCCGGGCUCCCGGGGGCGCCGCCACUCGGCUGCCGGGGCGGACCCGGCUCCCCGGCCGCUGCAGCCCCGCCCCGGCCGCGAUGCCCGGGCGGGGAAGCCCGAGAGUUGGCUCCCGGCCGGCCCAGGGCCCCUCCGGCCCGCAUUCCCGAGGCCUGAACGGCGAACAGGUUCCCCGCACUGGCCUGGCUGUGCCCUGGGGCCGGGGCGGGGCGGGGGGCCCCUCGAGGCCGUCCCCUGCUUCUCACCAGCUCCCCUUCUCCCUUUCUUUCUCCCCGCUCCGGACGGGUCCCCUCGAGCAAGGAGGAGGCUGGGUAGCGGCCAGCGGCGCCCCCCCCCCCCCACCGCCCAGGACCACACCGGCGCCAUCCGGCUCCCUCCUGCGGGACCCAGGACUAUUUAUUGAAGGCAUCCAGCAUCUCCAGUUAGCAGUACUGACUUUUUUCCCCCAACACUACAUCAACACUCUUGGCCUGGAUCUGGACACAGAAGACUCCUGUUUCAAGAAAAUACAAUCAUCUCUCAAAUCCUGUAAUUUAUAUGCAGUUUAAACUCACUAGGUAUUGAAAGCCACCCAAGUGUCCCACAACAUAGGGUAAAAUAUAAUCAAUCAUUCGGUGUAAUAUUAUACAUCCUUUAAAAAUGUUAUUGGAAAAUGUUUUAUGAUCUGUAAGUCAAAAUAACCCUUUCCCAUCGUUUCUUUCUCCCUGCUGCUCCCUUAUACCCACGCUUCUAUGUUCCAAUUGGCAUGUAAACUUGUCUCUCCGGCCAAAUGAGUCAGUCAUGAAGGGGAACGGCAAUUGAUUUGAACAGAUGUGUGUCAAUGUUACUUGGAAAACUAGAUGCCAAUAACCAGGGCCACAAAAAAAGGGCAGUGGUUGCAACUCUGUAAAAAUUUAUGCCUGCCUACAGACAAUGACUAAAGGGGGACCCCCCCCCCCAGGAAAAGAGUUGGAUACACGCCAGUGCUGGGAGACUGAUUGUAUGCUGCUUUGGAUUUUCCAUUAAUGCAAGAUAACUGUCC
rnacentral:lncRNA from 9 species